rnacentral:sRNA from 1 species
GUGCUUUAGGGAAAUGGACACAACUGCAGCUACGACUGUAACAGUCUUUGUUUACAACAAACCUGUGACCGAGUUACAGGACUUUGUAGUCAACAUACGUCAACAACUGUUGCGACUUUAGUUUCAGAGUCCUGCAGUUCUCUAGGAUUGGGCGCUGGUAUAGGUAUCGGUAUUGCCAUUGGUGUGAUCACUAUAGUUCUAGUUGAAGUAGCCUUAUACUUCAUAUUUCUCAAGAGGAGGAAACCGCCAGACAUUACAGAUGAACCCGUACAUAAGACGCAAGCGAUACCUUGCCAACAAUAUGACACCGUGAAAGAAAGUCUCCAAGAUAAACCACACUAUGACACAGUCGAUUUAAAUGACAUGAACAAUGCUCAGAUAACUCCUGCUUCUUCAUCAAUGAACUCUUCAGCUUAUGAAAACGAAGUAACACAGUAUGAAACCUACAGUCCUAAAAAUGUAUAAUCACAUAUUAUCUAGCCAAUUAGAAUGAUCAACUAUGUCAAACGCAUAUCAUGGACUUUUUAUGAUGUUGAU